GUCGCCGUGCCCGAGGAGCAGGCGGCCGUUGGCGGGCGGCGGGCGCGAGGCGGCGGCCGUUGGAGCGAGCGGUGCCUCGUGCUGAGGUAAGGGCGGGAAGGCGGGCGGUGAGGCGGCCCCGGGGAAGCGGAGACCGCCUGAGGAAAAACGAAAGCAAAAGGGCGGAGGCGGCAGCAGGGAAGGGGCGGGCGGGCCGGGGCUCCCCGCGGCGGGGCUCGGCUCGCUCCUCCCCUCGGCGCCGAGGCGGAGUGGGGCGGCGGCGGCGGGCGGGAGGGCUCGGUGAGCCCCCAUGGCCCUGGCGCUGGGGCAGCGGGCGCGGUAGCGGGCUGCGGGUGAGUCAGAGCCGCCGGGGGAGGGCGGGCUGGACAUGAGCCGCGCCGCCGGGCUGCGAGCGGCGGCCGGAGGCUGAGCAACAAAAGAAGUUUCCCGGGAGGCGCGGCGCGGAGCUCCCUCAUGCACGCCCCCGGCCGCCGGCCCUGGGGCUCUGCCCGCCGGGCGCCCGCCGCCGACCCCGGCGCGGAGCCCCGAGCGGCGCUGCACGACAGCCCGGACCUCAGCCGGGCCACGCGGCUCAGCGUGGGGGAGCUGCGCUCCCUCUUCGAGGCGCGCUGCGCCGCCGUCGCCGCCGCCGCCGCCCGGCAGCUGCCCGACCCGGCGAAGCGGGGCUGCCGGCCCCCCAACGGCGUGCUGCCGCCCGUCAUCCCGCGCCUCACCGUCACCGCCGAGGAGAGCGAGGAGUCGCAGGGCAGCCCCAAGGCGCCCCCGGCGCACCCGGAGGGCGGCUGGCUGAGGACGGACAGCUCGCUGCACCUGCAGUCCCGCAGGCUGUCCACCUCCUCGCUCUCCUCCACGGGCUCCUCGUCCCUCCUGGAGGACUCGGAGGACGACGUGCUGAGCGACACGGAGUGCCGGAGCCAGGGCAUCGUGCACCUGGAGCGCGGCGAGGACUCCAACCAGAAAAAGGCAUGGCAUACAAUUAAAACCAUGGUUAACUUACCAGUGAUUAGCCCCUUCAAGAAACGCUACUCAUGGGUGCAGCUGGCUGGACAUACAGGGAGUUUCAAGGCAGCUGAUAGUGGUAAGAUUCUCAAACGCUUCUCAGAGAAUGAAAAGGAGUGUUUUGAGCGAUUGAUGAAAGACCCACUACGAUCCUGCGUCCCUUGCUUCCAUGGUGUGGUGGAAAGAGAUGGAGAGACCUACAUUCAGCUGGAUGAUUUGCUUACUGAUUUUGAAGGGCCGUGUGUGAUGGACUGUAAGAUGGGGAUCAGGACAUACCUGGAAGAAGAGCUGACUAAAGCCCGUGAGAAACCAAAGCUGCGUAAAGACAUGUACAAGAAAAUGAUUGAAGUGGAUCCUCUUGCUCCUACAGCUGAGGAGAAUGCCCAGCAUGCUGUCACCAAGCCCCGAUACAUGCAGUGGAGGGAAACAAUCAGCUCUAGUGCCAACCUGGGCUUUAGGAUUGAAGGGAUUAAGAAAGCAGAUGGAACAUGCAACACAAACUUCAAAACUACGAAGACACAGGAGCAAGUUCUCCAGGUUUUUGUGGAAUUCAUUGAGGGCAACACAACUAUUCUGAAAAAAUACCUCAAGCGUCUGCAGGAAAUUCAUAUCAUUCUUGAAUCCUCAGACUUCUUCAAGCGACAUGAGGUCGUUGGAAGUUCACUACUUUUUGUACAUGAUGGCAGUGGGAAUGCCAAUGUGUGGCUGAUUGAUUUUGGGAAGACCACCCUUCUCCCUGAUGGGCAGACGCUGGAUCAUAGGAUCCCCUGGCAAGAAGGCAACAGGGAGGAUGGAUACUUGUUGGGACUGGACAAUUUGAUUCGCAUCUUGGAAAGCAUCACUGAAAGAUGAGUUGAAAGUGGCACAAAACUUACAGGGCUGCUUUGUAACUAACUUUCUUCUCUACUGAGAUCACUCAGAAGGAAACUACUUUAACUAGCUCCCUUCAAACUCCUGAGGUCAUCACAGCGCACAGGGAAAUAUAUCCAGAACCCAGCAGCUAGUUAUCGAAAUGACUUUGCAUCAGCCCUCUGUGAACCUAAAUAACUAACUCCAGAUUGGUCUGUAUUGCGCCAGCCUAAUGUAAGACUGGUCCUCAGAGAAUCAAGGUCUCCAUACUCAGGAAUCACACCAGCAUGAGUCAAGAGGUCUGUAUGGUAAACCAGGAAGAUUCUGAUUUCUGGUAAACUGAUGGGACUUCCAGAUUACCUCUCAGUGAUCGAGAGCAAUUGCUUGGGAAUUCAGGGGAGGAGUAACAAUUUUUCAGGGAACUGGAUAGUUUUGAAACCAGCAGGAAUGUUUUUUCCUUUUUGCCCUAAUUCCAAGUCUUCUUGCUCCUGUGUACUCUAUAGGUUGGACUAACAACAGCUGCUGCCUUAUGUUAUAGGUGUACCCAAGGUGGAAAUUGGUGAUAAUCAGAAGAAUCCUGGAGCGAAGUGAGACAGCAGUUUGUAGUGGCUGUAUGUGGUAACCGUUGUUGAUUAGUCCUCCUCAUCCCCACCUCUAGCCUCAAUUCACUUCUGUCCAAGAGCAGCCUUUGCUUUUUUAUGUAGCCUCUGAGGAGAUUACAGCUAGUCCAGGGAGAGAGUAGCAGCCUGUUGUCUCCGGAAACAUUUGACUUUCAGACUGGGUGGGCUGUUGGAAAAGUGCCUAGCUUGGCAGGUUUGGUCUCUUGGACCUGAACUACAGCUGUGAAAAUCAGUGAUAACACUCUAGCACUCAGACUGGGGAACUAAGGGGGUUUUCAAGGCAUGCUCAUUUUUAACAUAAAUCUGCUGUACACAUGCACAUACAUGCACACACUAGUAGCCAGUAACCAAUGUGAUCUUUUAAGAUCAUAGUUUGAGUGUCUUCUGAUGCACAUGAAAGAGGUGAUUUCUUGGCCAUGCUCCUAUUCCCAAGUACAAUGCUGCCACUUAAGUGUGUAAACUUAUAUAUUAAAGUACUUAUAUAAGUGUAUAGAGCAGCAAUCAGGAAGGUAAAGUUUCUGCAUUCACAGCAUUACACUAAUGAUAAUUCCUAGACAUUCCUCCUCCAAUAUAUCAGCUGUUAACUCAGGGCAGUUUGGGGGAAGGAAUGUCAGUAUAUCACAUUCCUUAGUCCCUGUCUGGAAUCACGGGACCGCUUGUGAUUUACUCUUUUCUGCUGUGGCCCAGGCACAGCCACAGAAAAUUCACAGUGAUUCACAGUGUUUAGAUUAGAACUGAGAAAGACUGAAGUGAUGAUACUUGUAAUGGCUUCACAUACCAUUUCUGUUGGUUGCCUCUUGUCAUUUUAACAGUUCUAUAAAUAUAGCAGGAGAUGAAGACUAUCGGCAUUCACCUGUUCACUUACAUUCCAGGCUUUAAUAUAAAUAUAUGUUGAUGCAGUUUCCAAAAUAAGGACAAGACUUAGAUUAGUGUUUGAUUAAUUCACUUUUAUCAUCUUGAGCUGGUAAUGCACACUGAUCAGAAAUUGCUGUCUCUUGCGAGUGUCCUGUGCUCAGAAGAGAUUCCAAGAAGUUCAGGGUAGGUGAAGGUGACUCGGUGCUUUGGGGAGCAGCUUUUUCAAGAAUACCUAACUGUGACCAUGAGCAAAAAUCCUGUACAGCGUAGCUCUGGAAUGAAACGCAUCUGUAACAUUGGUAAUUUGAAUCAAAGGGAAAUCAAAGAGUUACUUUUGAUAACAGACUCUUGUGCUAUGAGAUCAGAUUUAAGAACUUAUUCAUCACCUCUAAACAAAACAGCAGUAUUAAAAAUGCUAUUGCACCCUUAAGGUUAGAGGACAUAGAGUGGGUAUCCUGUGGAAAUGGUGAGGUGUGGAGACAUUUCGUUGUCAAACAGAGGUUGUUUGAAACUGAUAAUUAUUGCAGUUCGCUGCAAAUUCAGACUUCUUCUGUGGCCUUCUCAAGUCCUCCUCAAUUUAUUUUCUUGAUAGUGUGCUCCUGAAUUUUCCACUGGGUUUUUUUUGAGAGGGUUUUUUAGCUAUUUCAAAGAGUUUACACUUUUUUUUUUUUUUUAGUUGUGGUGAGCUUCCAGUAUUGAGCAUGCAUGUUGUAAUUUCAGAUGCCUCCUAACCUUGGAAUUGCUAUGAGAUGACAAAUUAAUCUGUGGUGAUUUUCAUACUAUUAAUUAAUUAAGUCCUCCUGCUCCUUUUCUGCAGCCAACAGGUAAACUAUCAGCUAGCAGUGCUUAAGGAGAAAAAAGGAGUAAAUUAAUCUCAUUUGCCUUUUCUGUAAGACUGCAAUUUCAGGGAUUUGGAAAAAACAAACAAAAAACCAGACUGAAUGGGAAAAGGUUAAAUAAAGUGUAAUGAGAUAGGGUGAUACAGUUAAUUAGUGGGUUGCCUAAUUACCUUUCAUAAUUAUUUUUUUUUUGUUAACACAUGUGAACCUUUUGCACCAGUGCAAGUUAUUUUCUGCAUGGGGGGUGGGAUUUAGAGGGUAAAAGUUAGCUGAUACUCCAAUGUCACUUGAGAAUGGGUUGUGAACUUUUAGAAUUGUCUUGUUUUAAAGAAGUAGAUGCAAUGUAGUAGCAGUAACUUCAAAAACCUGACAGCUGCUAGCACCUCCGAGGGUGGUUUGUAGCCCCUCAUCUUGGAGAUAACAAGGGAACCUCUUCAAAGCUGUGCAGUAGGUGAGAAGAUGGGGUGGGGGGGGGGAGAAGGGAAACCUCAGCUAUAGCAGUCCUUGUUCUGGAAAUUCAUUCUAGAUACUGAAUAGUUCUAGCAAGUUUGUUUUGAAAUGACUCUUUGGCUUAUCUAAGGGCUAGAAAGGAAGAAACCACAAUCUAAUAUUCUGCUGCUGUUACAGGAAAGAUGCAAAGGAAGGAGCUUUUCAUUAGCAAAUGGCAAGUGUAGGACUGCAGAUGUGAGGACUGGAGCUGUCAGGGGCUGGAGGCUGUGAGAUCCUGAGCAAAUUAUCGCAGGGCUUUAGUAUCUACUACUUCCUGAAAUAAAACUGGUUUUAAGACAUCUGGGAGCUGACAUUGCAACUUCGUUCCUAACACCAUGCAACAUUUGACAGCUUUCUUAGAGGUAAGAGGCUGCAUGAAGGAACAUAAAGUACUAAUGCCAAAUCCAGAAGAAAAAAAACCCAUCUCUAUAUACACACAUCUAAAACUGAGGUGGUAGGUAGUCUUUGUUAAAAUGUACAACGUAAAACCCAAUGGGAAGGACAAUGUAUAGUAUCCCUAUACAGGGCUGAUUCUUCAUUGGGGAACUGGUGGAAGACUUCCCAUAUGGAUUACGUGACUAAAUAAUGCCAGUCUCCAGCUCAAGUCAUUCCUCUCGGAAACAAAAUCGUUUCUUUGGGUUUUAAUUGCCCAAGUAAUCUAAUUUUGACAAUAUGGGUUCAACUCAUUCAUUAUGCACUAUGGGCAUCACCUUAAAAGACGAUUUCAAGUAAAUGGUAUUUUGAAAUGGUAUAAUUUGGACACUGAAAUCUGUGGUUGUAUUAACCAUAUUCUUCAUCUAAGAAUUGUAGGAAUUGGUGGUUGGUUGUAGAGCUCUCUUUCUUUUUAAAUAACCUGGUUUGGACAGUGUAUUGCAUCACAGUAGGAGCAGUAUUAGCAUUAUUUCCUCCUGUAUCAUCAUUUAAAAAAAAUCAUUACUAUGAGGCUUUUGAAAAGCAUCUAUGAGAUCAGAUACACACAGAAAAACUGUUACAGGCCAAAGACUGAUGGUGUCUGUGUUGACAAAAGUUUGCUUACCUUUAUUUCCACUUGAGGGAGGUAAGAGCACAUACAAAAAGCAUGUUUCUAAUGCAGAUGCUUAAAGUUCUUAGCCAGUUCUUUUAGUGCCCACUUGAUCUGUGCAGAUCCAUGUUCUGUCUUGUUAGGAGACACUGCAUCUGACUCAGUACACCCUGAGCUACGUGCUGUCAUAAACUAGCAAAGUAUACGUAGGAGAUAAUCACUACAUGCUUACUCUACUCUUACAGUUGCCCUUCAACACCCUGCUAUUGGUCACUCAUAGGGAUAAGAUACUGGGCUGGAUGGAGGUUCACUGUAGUUCAGUGGAGCUUUUUCCCUGUUCUUCCUGUAUAAGUAUACUGACUUAACUAUUCAUUGAAAACAUCUGUGUUGUCCAAAGUGCUAGACUGAUGAACUUACUUACAUUUUAUGAAUAAAUUAAGAGAAAGCUGCAUGCAAAGUCCACCCGUAGCACUGGUGAGUAGUGGAAACUAUAGUUCAACUUUGCUCUGCUCUCACUUUACUUUUCAAUGUCUUACGUAGUUCUAUCAAUAUUUGCUUCUCUAAAUUCAUGAAUUAAGGUGAAGCAAAUGUCGCAUAUGUGAAAAACAACGGUAGCUUAAAGUGAGCUCAGCAGGGAUCCUGCCUGCUUCUCCUUGGAAUGCUAGCAUUAUUGUACAUAGAUGAGCUGCUGUUAAUCCAGCUAGCCAAGAUUAGGUCUGUUUAUUCUUGGCAAGCAGGUUGCAGAGGUGGGCUGCAUGCAACAUAACCAGAAAUGUUAUCCUCUGCAAGGGGAAAGGAUGAGUACCCUAAUUUCCUGCUAACUCUACCUCAUCUAACCUGGCUGUAGCAGUUCCUGGACAUAAGGUAGGACAGGCAAUGGGCUAAAAGUAUGAAUAAUACUAUGCUGACCACUUGUAACUUCACAACAUAGAUUUGGAAUUUUUUCCAUGCUAUACAGCUCACUGCUAAAAGGAUCAUCAUCACCAAUCAGGUCUAGAAAUGAGAGUAUAUAAAACUACUCAUUCUGAAGCUUAAGGUCUAAGACCACAGGAAGCUGGGAACAAGUACAAAGCCAGAACAGAAAAUGCCAAAGCACCCUUUGCUAUGCAUGGUCUAACUGAAGACAAGAACUGCUACGUUUGGCUUGGAGAUUCCUAACUUACUUUGACAGACUUGAGAUGUUUCCCAGUGUUUGGGAAGAGGAUGCUCAAGAAAAAAACGAGUUAGAGACCGUCACUAGAAGUGAAAAAGUAAACAUCGUUGCCUUUAUGUCAUUACAUAGUUGCUCUUUUCUCUUUAUAUCUACAGGUCAGUUAGGCAGUGACACUGAAAACUACUUACAGUGGAGACCCAGGGAAAUCAAGAUGGAUCUGCAAAGACUUCAGCAGGAUUUCCUGAAUCGUUGGCUAAAACAAGACGAGUCUGUUCCCAGGUAGCUUAUACAAGAGACCUAAUGGUGUAAAAACAGCCAGAGAAAACUACUUGUGAAGAGCAUCGCUGUGAGUUGUCAUUGGAAUUCUUGCUGCACAAAGCAAAAACUGUUCCUUAUCAUAAAUUCAUUAGAGCAAGGUGGGGGGAGGAUGAAGGACACCGCUAUCACAUUUUUUUAAAUGAUGCUGUAGUGAUUAACUGUGAUGCCGCCAGUAAGAAUACUGCUUUUCUUGUACUUAUUUGGCAUUCUAAAAGCUAACAUUUGUUGUGUGUUCUUACUGCUUUUAAAAUAUAUUUAUUAUGACAGAAGUCUCUAAUGCCUUUUUCAAAAGAACUUAUCGUCCCAAUAAAAAGGAGAUUGAAAACGGUA